rnacentral:rRNA from 1 species
GACAGCAGCAGCCACGGUAAUACAGAGGGUGCGAGCGUUAAUCGGAUUUACUGGGCGUAAAGGGCGCGUAGGCGGUUUGGCAAGUUUGGUGUGAAAUCUUCGGGCUCAACUCGAAGUCUGCACCGAAAACUGCCGGGCUUGAGUAUGGGAGAGGUGAGUGGAAUUUCCGGUGUAGCGGUGAAAUGCGUAGAUAUCGGAAGGAACACCUGUGGCGAAAGCGGCUCACUGGACCAUUACUGACGCUGAGGCGCGAAAGCUAGGGGAGCAAACAGGAUUAGAUACCCCCGUAGUCCCUGUCUCUUAUAC